rnacentral:rRNA from 1 species
GACGAACGCUGGCGGCGUGCCUAACACAUGCAAGUCGAGCGGAGGUACAAUGAGAGCAAUCGAGAUGUACUUUAGCGGCGGACGGGUGAGUAACGCGUGAGCAACCUGCCUAUCACAGGGGGAUAAGGCGGCGAAAGCCGCUCUAAUACCGCAUGAGACCCUCAAAGCGAUGCAAUGGGGGUAAAGGAGCGAUCCGGUGAGAGAUGGGCUCGCGUCCGAUUAGGUAGUUGGUAGGUAAGGCCUGCCAAGCCAAUGAUCGGUAGCCGGCCUGAGAGGGUGAACGGCCACAUUGGAACUGAGAGACGGUCCAAACUCCUACGGGAGGCAGCAGUGGGGAAUAUUGGGCAAUGGGCGGAAGCCUGACCCAGCAACGCCGCGUGAGGGAAGACGGCCUUAAUGGGUUGUAAACUUCUUUACUAACGCGAAUAGAGGUUAGUACGAGAUACUAAUAGGAAGGUAGUGUAGUAAAAAGCACCGGCUAACUCCGUGCCAGCAGACCGCGU